CCUAGGGGGGCAGCAGUGGGGAAUAUUGGACAAUGGGCGAAAGCCUGAUCCAGCCAUGCCGCGUGUGUGAAGAAGACCUUCGGGUUGUAAAGCACUUACAGUGGGGAAGAAAGCCUUGGGGCUAAUACCCUCGAGGAAGGACAUCACCCACAGAAGAAGCACCGGCUAACUCCGUGCCAGCAGCCGCGGUAAUACGGAGGGUGCGAGCGUUAAUCGGAAUUACUGGGCGUAAAGCGCGCGUAGGCGGUCUGAUAAGCCGGUUGUGAAAGCCCCGGGCUCAACCUGGGAACGGCAUCCGGAACUGUCAGGCUAGAGUGCAGGAGAGGAAGGUAGAAUUCCCGGUGUAGCGGUGAAAUGCGUAGAGAUCGGGAGGAAUACCAGUGGCGAAGGCGGCCUUCUGGACUGACACUGACGCUGAGGUGCGAAAGCGUGGGUAGCAAACAGGAUUAGAUACCCGGGUAGUC
rnacentral:rRNA from 1 species